rnacentral:rRNA from 1 species
CCUACGAGGGGCAGCAGUGGGGGAUAUUGCACAAUGGGGGGAACCCUGAUGCAGCGACGCCGCGUGGGUGAAGAAGCGCCUCGGCGCGUAAAGCCCUGUCAGCAGGGAAGAAAAUGACGGUACCUGAAGAAGAAGCCCCGGCUAACUACGUGCCAGCAGCCGCGGUAAUACGUAGGGGGCAAGCGUGAUCCGGAUUUACUGGGUGUAACGGGGGCGCAGACGGCGAUGCAAGCCAGGAGUGAAAGCCCGGGGCCCAACCCCGGGACUGCUCUUGGAACUGCGUGGCUGGAGUGCAGGAGGGGCAGGCGGAAUUCCUGGUGGAGCGGUGAAAUGCGUAGAUAUCAGGAGGAACACCGGUGGCGAAGGCGGCCUGCUGGACUGCAACUGACGUUGAGGCCCGAAAGCGUGGGGAGCAAACAGGAUUAGAUACCCCAGUAGUC